UCUGAUUGAUUUCAACUCAAGUCUCUGAAGUGAAUAUCCAGCCUUUGGUUCCAUGUUUUUCUAUAUUUACUUCAUAUUCCCUGAACCAUCUAUGUGAACAUUUUAACAUAAAUGCAAAUUGGAAAAGGGAAAAAUUAAAUGUAAAAAUCCAUAUUCUCUGCCUUGUCCAUGACUUAUUCUUUUCCUUGUCCAUGACUUAUUAAAAAUCCAUAUGCUUGUGAGAAUAUUUUACAGCAGCAUCCAGAUAACUGAUUUUAGAUUUUCCAUAUAAUUAACCCCUCUAGAUAAUAGAAAAAUAUCUCCUUAUGGUUUUCUGAUGGUAAAUUUGAGAAUGAAGUUUUGAGACUUGAUCUCUCAGCUGCAAGCUGUAAAAAUUGCACUCAAAUUUGUUUGGCAACUUGUUCUCAAACACUCCAUCACUGCUAUCUACAAGCAAUCCUAUAGGAUUUGGUCAAACAACUAUAAGUCACUCUUAAAACUCAUAAUUAAGUUUCUCUAUGUGGCAAUGUUUAAGUAGUUGAUAUUUUAGGGGUGAUAGUUGGAACCUAGGUUGCUUGCAUGGGCAUGAUGUAUGAUGUACUGGAUUCAGAAAAUUGAUAAGUUUUGAUAUGUGGACAUGUUGGUAUUUCCAACUAAUGUAGUGUCUAAGUACAGUAUCUAUAAAAUGUUUUAGCGCAUAUUUUUGCACUCCACAUAUGCCAAUAUGCACCAUGUGGGAAAAAUGGCUUUCCAUCUUCAUUGAUUUUCAUUUAAAAAUUUCUUAGAAAUUGUACUGUGUACUUCAUAGAUGAAAAUUGUUAAUCUCCAUGCAAAGGAAACUUCUUACAUGAAGCUGUAGAGUGACACUUGCCUGAACAUGUCUGAUAUUGUUACAUUAUAAUUUAUAGGCAUCUCAUUGUUGUUUGUUCUUAAGAAUCUGAUUUCUUCGUGUUUUAAUUUUUGAGACCUCUAUGUUCUUUUGUCAAUAUGGAUUUAAUUUCUUCUCUUCUUCAGCCCUCACUUUCAACACCUUUCCACUCUGUUCAACCUGCUCAGACAACAGGUUCUUUUGGGUUUGGGAACUUUGGUCAAACACAAGCAGCUGGUACAAGUGGUUUUGGAGGCAUGCCAAGCAUUUUUGGUCAGAGUACUUUUGAACAAUCGGAUUAACCUGAUGAAAUGAUGUCCUGACUGAACAUAUUCUAUGUAAAAGCAUGAGGUGACAUUGGAUGAAAUUUCAACAUUAUGUUGCUUGAAAGAUGGAUACCCUUGUUAUGGUUAUAAUAUUGUUAUGUUCACACUAUUUAUCCUUGUUUCUAUGAUCGGUAAAAUACAUCCUUUUCAGACUUUGAUUAUGAUAUAUGUAUUACUAUUGUUCAGUGAACUGACUGAAAUGUUAAAACUAUUUG